GGCUUGUACAGAAGCACAGGCUCAGGAUCGAAAGGGGAAGAUCAUGGAGGAAGACACGGGGUUGAACGGAAGGGUCUUCGAUGCUGAGAUCCCACAAAUAAAGAGUUUUGCGUUUCAGUCGCCAUGUCGCCUUUUAUUAAUUGAGGAAGGUUUAUAAAGCUUAAAGGAAAUCAACUCUGAAUAUUCACUGGAAGGCCUGAUGCUGAAGCUGAAGCUCCAAUACUUUGACCAUCUGAUGAGAAGAGCCAGCCCUUUGGAAAAGACCCUGAUGCUGGGAAUAGCUGAAGGCAAGAGGAGAAGGGGGCGACAGAAAAUGAGAUGGUUGGAUGGCAUCACCGACUCAAUGGACACGAGUUUGAGCAAGCUCUGGGAGAUGGUGAAGGACAGGAAAGCCUGGUGUCCAUGGGGUUGCAAAGAGCCAGUCUUGACUUAGCAACUGAACAACAAGAAUAAAGCUUAGCAGAGUGCUGUUGGUAAUUCAUAAAGUCCAUCCACUCGUUGCACUAAAGACUUUAUUUGUGCAAAAUAAGUCUUCCUUCCUUGGUUUAGCACGAUCUCAAUUGCUUUUUAAGGAUUGUUGGUGAAACUGGAGAGAAAGUUCCAGUGCCAGAUUCCAUUUCACUUAAGCAAAGAAAAUCAGAUUAAAAUAAUGAAUGACACUCCAGGAACUGUGAGGCUUCCUGGGGCAGUGAGUGACUGUCCACAGGGCCUUAGCCUGAGACCCCCUCUGUGACAUAAAUAGGGAUGCAUUUCAUCGCAGCUAAGCGUCAGGAAAUAUGCUUUUAAUUAUCACUUAAGAUGUAACCUGUCAGAGGUCUUAGUAUCACUUGUUUUUAAUGAGAAUUGAUUUUCAGAUUGCAUUACCCCGAAAGCCAAGGAUAAUGGAAACCCCUGGUUCUUUCCUGAGACCUUUAGUCACCACAUGUUCCUCCGUCGAUCUCGCUGGCAUCGCCAGCCCCUAGACAUCUGAUCUGCCCACAUGGGGCCCUGGCAGAGGGGCCAGCUUGUUAGCCUUAAAGUGAUUCUGAUGAAUGAGAUUCUACAAAGCUGAGCCUGGCUCACGCGUUUUGCUGCAAAAUGAGCGAGCCCCAGGGAAAACUAAAGAGGGGUUGAAUUUUUCACUGUGGUCCACAGGCUGGCCUCAUGGAUACAAGAUGCUGGGCAGAAAUCAUGUAUUGAUGGGGAAACCAUUCAUCUGAGUGAGGCCUACCUCUGCGUAGACCUUCCCACUGGUAUCCUAACCUUUUCUGAAAUGGCUGAGCAAUCCCUGAAAGGCACACCAGGAGCGGAUGUGCAGAAAGGCAGCAAGAGGAAGGAUGAGAUACCUGGUUAUCUGGUUUCCAAACUUAAGUCAUGCUCAUACCAUAUACCACCGUCCUGUUUUUCUUGCCAUAAACUGGUACUGUCUUUACAAUGAUUUACUUAAUAUUUUCCCUUAAGUUGACUCAGAAAACUUUAUGGACUUACUUUGCGAAGAACAUCAAUAUUGAAAACAGAUUAGUCUUCUGCGUUUGUCAACAGAACUUUUUCAGUUAUAGAAGGAUAUUAUUGCCUGCUGUUGGUUUUCCUUGUGAUGGUUGCCUGUGAUUUCUUUGUUAACAUGGAUAUCUCAGAGGUGUUAAUGGCAGAGUAAUGUGAUCUAGUUCCUUCUCUUUUUGAUUGUCAGAAUCAAAAAGAUUGGAAGAGAAUUGGAUGGGGAAUAACUUUCUCACCCUUCAACACUGCAUUAUUGCUUUAUGUGUAUAAGACCUAAAAGAAUCGUGGCAUGUGUCCAUCUGGGAAAUGAUGGUAGAAUGCAUUCAUGAUUAUGUGCAGAUCAGAUUGGAAGAUGAUGCGGAGGGAAACUGGAGGCAGGGGGAAAGAAAGGAGCCAAGAAAAAGCAAACGCAUGCAGGCUCUGGCUUCUUUCCACUAGUAGAGAAACACAGUGAUGGAAAGGAAAAUGAUCAGAUUUAAAGUCAGUCUUACCCACAGUCCCUCUGUGUUCUUUCACGCAAUCCAUGUGUAUUAAUCACCUCCCGUGUACCAGUCACUGUGCCGUGUACUCCAUGAGAACAAAACCCGAUGUCAUGCGGGACUCAGUUCCGCAGGAAACAGACGGGUGUGUGCAGAGCUGUGGCAGCUACUAGGAAGCCACCUGCCUCAGAUUCUGGGGACCUGCAACAGCAAUGGUGAGAAGGAGGUCCCUGGUGUGUCGCCCUGUUGUAGUAUUCUAACAUCGAGGACAACAGAAAGUAAUCCCAGCCAAACCAGCGCAUUUGGGAAAAUAGAACGCAAUGUCACGGCGGUUUGGGCCUCCUGACUUUCUGGGUCAGUGGGAAGGUAUUGUUCCUGCUGCACUAUGGUCUGCUGACUGUAGAAGGGGGAGCAUCGGUGCUGGACACCAGGUGCCAGUGGCCAUUACAUUUCCAAAGCUCAGAAGCAGUGGUGGCUCAGGCAUCUGCAGAGACGUGGAUGGACUUAGACACUGUCAUGCAGAAUGAAGGAAGUCAGGAAGACAGAAACAAAUUCGUAUAUCAAUGCAUACAUAUGGAAACUAAAAAAAUGGUAUAGAUGAACCUAUCUGCAAAGCAGAAAUAGAGACACGGAGAGCAAACGAAUGGACAACAACAGGGGAGGGUGGGACGAACUGGGAGACUGGGACUGACACAUACUGGAUGUCGUUCAGUCGCUCAGUCGUGUCCGACUCUUCGAGACCCCAUGAACCGCAGCACGCCAGGCCUCCCUGUCCAUCACCAACUCCCGGAGUCCACCCAAACUCAUGUCCAUUGACUCGGUGAUGCCAUCCAGCCAUCUCAUCCUCUGUCAUCCCCUUCUCCUCCUGCCUUCAAUCUUUCCCAGCAUCAGGGUCUUGUCCAGUGAGUCAGCUCUUCGCAUCAGGUGACCAAAGUAUUAGAGCUUCAGCUUCAGCAUCAGUCCUUCCAAUGAACACCCAGGACUGAUCUCCUUUAGGAUGGACUGGUUGGAUCUCCUUGCAGUCCAAGGGACUCUCAAGAGUCUUCUCCAGCACCACAGUUCAAAAGCAUCAAUUCUUCAGCCUUCAGUCUUUUGACAAAAUGUGGUCCACUGGAGAAGGGAUUGGCAAACCAUUUCAGUAUUCUUGCCUUGCGAAUGCCUUAAACACUAUGAAAAGGCAAAGGGAUAUGACGCUACAGACACUAUGCAGAAAACAGAUAACUAAUGAGAACAUGCGGUAUAGUACAGGGAACUCUCCUCAACACUUUGUGGCGAUCUCCAUCGGAAGGACACCCAAAAGAGAGGGCAGAUAUAGGGAAUAUAUGUACACAUAUAUCAGUAGCUAAUUCACUUCACUGAACAGCAGAAACUAACACAAUAUUGUAAAGCAACUGUACUCCAAUUUAAAAAAGAAAAAGUCGAACUUGCUGCUGCUGCUGCUAAGUCGCUUCAGUCGUGUCUGACUCUGUGCGACCCCAUAGACAGCAGCCCACCAGGCUCCCCCGUCCCUGGGAUUCUCCAGGCAAGAACACUGGAGUGGGUUGCCAUUGCCUUCUCCAAUGCAUGAAAGUGAAAAGUGAAAGUGAAGUCGCUCAGUCGUGUCUGACUCUUCGCAACCCCAUGGACUGCAGCCCACCAGGCUCCCCCAUCCCUGGGAUUCUCCAGGCAAGAACACUGGAGUGGGUUGCCAUUGCCUUCUCCAAUGCAUGAAAGUGAAAAGUGAAAGGGAAGUCACUCAGUCAUGUCUGACUCUUCGUGACCCUAUGGACUGCAGCCCACCAGGCUCCUCCAUCCAUGGGAUUUUCCAGGCAAGAGUACUGGAGUAGGGUGCCAUCGCCUUAGGACUCACCAAAAGUUUCGCUGAACAGCCUGCCCAGUGUGAUUCCCGCGGAUGUCCCCUGUGUGGGUAUUAGUGGCUCCCGUUGGGCUCAUCCUGUCCUUCAGGUGACUCUAUCCGAGCGAGGCUUGCAGACCAUGGUGUUUGAGCAGGUGGCCACCAGCCUGGUUCUACUCUUCCUGGGCUGGACCAAGGUAAGAAUUCGGGGGACAUUCCUGGCAGUCCUGUGGGGUGCUGUUCACAGGAGUGGCGAGGUCAGGGGCCAGGGUCAGGUUUUGGUCUGGCCGACUCUAGGCUCUUCAAGCACUGAUGACAGUUAUCCAACCUGCCUCUCACACCUGAGCCAUUUCUCUGGUCCUCCAGGGGAACAGAACCUGGCCCUCUGCUUGCAUCUUAAAGCAGCUUUGGCCAAACACUUACUGGGCAGAAAAUAAACCUCAGCAGAGUCCCCUUGAGGCUGGGAGGAUUUUACAGAUUCAUGACUUAGCUCUGUGAUCUCCACUGCCUUGAAAAAUUGAGAGUUGAUUUCAAUCAACUGUCCCCACAGUAUCCCUCCUCCCUUUGCCCUAUAUAAUUGUGUUUACGUGCUCACUCAUAGUCGGACAUGACUGAGCCACUUCACUUUCACUUUCACUAAGGCCCUCAAGGUUCAUCCGAGUUGCAGCCAGUGUUGGGAUGUCCUUUUCAAAGGCUGAAUCUUAUUCUAGGAAAUGGGCGGGCCACAUUUUGCUCAUCCAUUUAUCCAUCAAUGAACACUCGGGUGGCUUCCAGCUCUGGCUAAUUGUAAAUAAUGCUUUAGAGUACUAAUAUCUCUUCAAGUCUCUGUUUUGAUCACUUUUUAGCACAAAUUUUACUUUUCAGCAAAUUUCAAUAUGAUACAAUGUUAUCAACUAUAGUCACCAUUUUACACAUUGGAUCCCCAGACUUUAUUCAUCUUAUAGCUGAAAAUUUGUACCUUUACCAAACUUUCCCAAUUCUCUGCCUCCGGCCCCCAGCCACCCCUGUCCCUGGCAACCACUUUUCUACUUUCUGUUUCUAUGAAAGCUUUUUUUUUUCAAUUCCACAUGUAAAUGAUCCCAUGCAGUAUUUGUCUUUCUUUGCCUGGCUCAUUUCACUUAGCUCUCCAGGUUUGACCAUGUUGUUGUUGCAAAUACAAGAUUUCCUUCUUGUUCAGGACAGAAGAAUAAUACUGUGUGUGUGUGUGUGUGUGUGUGUGUGAGAGAGAGAGAGAGAGAGAGACAGAGAGAGAAAGUACCAUAUUUUCUUUAUCCACUCACCUCUACAAACCCAGAAGUGGGAUCUCUGGAUAACUUGGUAGUUCUUCUACGUUUGCCCAUUUUUAAAUGUAUAAUUCAGUGGUAUUAGGUACAGUCACCUUGUUGCGCAUAGAUACUGAAGAUUUGGGGAUCAAGCACACAAGUACCGGUUUUACCCAGCAGGGAGGCCGCCCCAUCUCCAGGCUUAGAAAGAGAACCCUGGGGUGUUUCUUAGGCGGGCUUCUCACUGGCCUCCCUUCCAGCCUCUAGUCACCCACUGUGGUUCCAGUGCAGCCCUUCUGGACUCUGGCCCUCUGCUCUCCCUCCGUCUUCACUGAGCCCCUGCUGGGAGCCCAGCGGGGUCCCUCCUGGCCAUGCACUCUCCCCCCACUCCCAUCCGCCCCGCAGACCCCAUUUGUCAUCAGGCCAAAGCUGAGCAGCCUGGCCUGAGCACAGUCAGCCUCUCGCUGCCCCUCUGGAAAUCCAGAAGGCCCCUCCCUGGACCCCCAGCAGCCCACCUCGCCCACCCCUCCCCGCCCUCUGCUCUCCGUGUGAUGCUGAAGUUUCCGGGCCAGGCGGGGAGCAGGCGGGGGUGGGGAAAGUGCCCGGGGUUUAUCAGGGUUCAUCUGACUGUCUCACAGCAGGCGCCGCGCUGCCAGCAUCCGCGCGACUUGGGUUUCAACCGUUUGCUCCACUGGACACCUCGCCGCCCCCUCGCCUCCGCGCAUAAUAAGCCUCAUUCUUUCCACAGCAGCGGCCCCCGGGACCUCCCGCGCGGGGACCCCGGCUCUGCGGGACCUGCUCACGGCUCUUCUCGCCUUUCUGCAGUCCGUUCAUCGGAAACCUGAGCCGUCGGGCCGAGGGGAGCCCAGCCUGGCUCCUGCCGGGGGGUGAGAACGCCGCCGGGCCUCCCAGACUCUGUGGCCAAGGGCGGGUCGGCGGGUCUCAGCUUCCACCGUGACCCCAGAAGCAAGAAAGAACAGGCUCCCCUCUCUUGACCUUGCAGAGAGGGCUUGGGAACCUUUAGUCUAAAUGUGAAAGUCCCACGGAGAAAAGGGGUUGCAGAGCUGGUGGGAAAACACAACAAUUCUAAGUAUUUUUCUUUGUUUUUGUUUUUUUUUCCCUUUGAUAUGUUUAUUUAUUCAAUUUAUUUUUAGUCAGUUAUGACAUUGUAAUGGACCCUUGGACAGCAAGGGGAUCAAACCAGUCCGUCCUAAAGGAAAUCAACCCUGAAUAUUCACUGGAAGGACUGAUGCUGAAGCUGAAGCUCCAAUAGUUGGGCCACCUGAUGCGAAGAUCCAGCUCAUUGGAAAAGGCCCUGAUGCUGGGAAAGAUUGAAGGCAAGAGGAGAAGGGGGCAACAGAGGAUGAGAUGGUUGGAUGGCAUCAGUGACUCAGUGGACAUGAGUCUGAGCAAACUCUGGGAGGUAGUGAAGGACAGGGAAGCUUGGCGUGCUGCAGUUCAUGGGGUGGCAAGGAGUCGGGGAUGACUUAGCGGCUGAACAACUUAACAUUGUAGGGGAAAGAGAGUACAACAAAAGGGUCUGCUAGUACAAUCUGACAUUCAAAAUCCUUGAUAUCCAUUACUUAUCAGUCGCUUCAGUGCCCCCAGCAGCAGGGCUUUGUCAUCCUGGCGCAUCUUGGCUCAGUAUCAGCUCCGACUAAUAAACAGUAACUGCUGUUAACCAGAACAGUGAAAGAGUUUUCAUAAUAUAAAAACUGGAUUUUGUGAUUCAAAACUUGUAUUAUUUCCUUUGAGCAUCAGUAGUUAUAUUUGGUACUUUUUUUUUCUCUAGAAUUAGGCACUGCUCCCUCAAAGGGACCGGCAGUUGGGAGCAGACCAGGGUAGGGUAGGGAGGGUCAUUUAAGGACCUGUCCUGGAUGAAUCAGGGUGAAAUCAGAGCACCAGGCACUCAGGCUUGACUGGAGUUUAACACUUGAACAUGACUGCAAGUGGUCUUCUGCUUUGAAGAGCUUUAGUAAAACGUUAACCUAGAAGUGCGCUUUUUUUUUUUUUUGGAGAGGGGGAGGGAAACAGAUUUCAUAUUUUAGCUUUCCUAUUUGAUCACGUGCUCAGAAGUGCCCUUGACUCCAAAGAUGUUAAACAUGAAGAUGCUGGUUUUUAAUUGCAUGUAUGUUAGAUAGCUUUCUAUGUGAAUAUACAUGACAUAAUACAUUGCUCAUUUUAUUAAAACAGCUAUAAACUGAGGUAUUAAUUAAUAUGCCCUUGGUGGCUGUUUUCUUUUUUUAGGUCUUUGCCCCCCCCACCCCGAUGUGGACCAUUUUAAAAGUCUUUAUUGAAUUUCUUACAAUAUUGCUUGUUUCAUGUUUUGGUGUUUUGGCCUCGAGGCAUGUGGGAUCUUAGCUUCCUGAUCAGGGAUUGAACCCUUACCCCCUGCACUGAAAGGCAAAAUCUCAAGCCACUGGAAGUCCUCUGAUGGUCGUCGUCGUCUGCUGCUGCUGCUGCUGCUGCUGCUGCUGUUGCUGCUGCCACUAAGUCGCUUCAGUCGUGUCUGACUCUGUGUGACCCCAGAGACGGCAGCCCAGCAGGCUCUCCCAUCCCUGGGAUUCUCCAGGCAAGAACACUGGAGUGGCUUGCCAUUUCCUUCUCCAGUGCAUGAAAGUGAAAAGUGAAAGUGAAGUCGCUUAGUCGUGUCCGACUCUUCGUCUAGUAGUAUCUAAAGAAAAGAUAGCCAUUUCUUAGUAUCUUUGUGUUUAUUGUUAUUAGAAAGCGGUAACAUCCUGUACAUGCAACUUUGAAUUUCUGUGAAUACAUGAAAUAAAUUCAUAAAAGUAAAAUGAAAGAAAAAUCCAGCUGUUGUGACCUGUCAAGAUGUCUUUGGUUCUCUAAUGAGUGGCAAGUCGCAGCCAUGCUUCUCCAGCCUUUCCCCACUGACUCGUCCUCUGGACUGUAGGACGGAGGUGCCUGGAGCAGAAACAGCUGUGGGUGGCGAUGGGCACGGGCAAGCAGAUCAGGCAGUGGUGAUAGGACCUAAACGCCCUCAUGGGUCUCAGGCCGUGGGGUGGGGUGGGUGGGGGCAGGCAAAGGGCAGGGAAGCAAGAGGGGGCGGGGUGGAAAGAGAAGCCAGCGCUUGCCAGCAGGACCUGGGGAGAGCCGCAUCCAAUUGUGCAUGGCCCACGUGAUCCGCCCGAUGAAGGAUGUGCACGUGAGGCUGGGCAGGGACCCUGGAGACUUCCUUCCCAGGUCUUUGACCUCCGGGCCAGGGGGAUACUCCAGCAGAGCAGCUCCCACAGUCCGCUUCUCCAGCCCCCAGACCCUGAUCUGAGUCUGUGUCGGCUCUUUGGUUUCUUCCUCUGCCUGUCAGCCUCCCUUAGCGCCUCCGUGGGCACGCUGCUGAGUGUCUGACAGAGAAAAGGGAGGCUCCGUGCUUCCACCGCCUCAGCCUGCAUCUCUCUCGGCCAGGUGCGGCCAGAGGCUCGAUAAUCAAGUCAAGGGCCGCAUUGUCUGCGCCUCUCCCAAGGAAGACGAGUGACAUUUAACAGCCACCGGAUGUACACUUGAGUCCUGUCUCCAUUUCUGUGAAUUUAAGCGCCUGGGGGGUGGGGUGGGAUCCCCUUCUCCAGAGGGCUCUCCCUGCCCCAACUCCCCAGCGGUGUGUCUAUGUCCUUCCCACAGAGGGCAGUUUGUUUCAGGGAGCUACUUGACUGUGAGAUGUUUUCUAAGAUGUCGUUUCUAAAAAACAGAGAGAAAGAUGAACUUGGAGCAACCCUGUAUCUCCAGCCCAUAGAAUUCCUGGCCCACUUCAAGCCCAGACUGGGGGCAAAAAGCAGUCCAACAUUCCAUGAAAGGGACACCGGCUUUUAGAGAGAAAGAGCAAUCUCGAAACCAGUGCAUUCAGAGACGUGUAAAACAACCCCCCUUCCCCAGCCUUACUUCUUGCCCUGUGAUGCUCAGCUGAUACACACAGGUGGGAUCCUGCCCCUGUGGUCCAGCAUCCUGGCUGUCUGUGGAAGCUGCUCCUGAUUGGUCCAGAGCAUCUCAGGAUCAUGAGAAGAGCAGAGUUCCUGCAUCCAGGCUAAGCCCAGAUAUUAGCUCUGUGAUGAGGGCUGGUCAGGCCAUCUCCCUGAAAUUUUAGUUCCUUUACACAAUUUACUUCCUUGCCUUUAUAAUGUUUUCAUUAUGAAUGUUAUUGUAUAUAAUACUCCUAGAUGUUUCCCCCUUCUUUCCUCACCUGUUCUGUACAACCCAGAUCAAAUACCAGCACCUCUUCUACCCAGGGAUCUUCUUUUUAAAACCCCUUCCCACCCACGUUUUUUCCCUGAAUCUUUUAAGGUGUUUGUAACUAAUUACACACAAAGUUAUCUCUAGGGCAGGCUAGGGAAGGCCCUCUAUCCCCUCCAUAUGGUUAGCGCCCACUUCCAUGAGUCCAGUGAAUGAAUAAGUAAAUGGACUUGCUUUGAAGCAUUUUCUCUUCUGGGAAAUUUGCAGGAAUAAUUUAAAGUGUUAUUGUCUUUCAAUAAUAUACACAAUUUUAUCCUAUAUUUUCAUCACAAGGUCUUAAAGUCUUAUUCAGUUUUCCAGGCCAGGCCAAUGACGAGAUCAAAAGGAUAAAUAGUUACUUCCAAUUUAGGAAGAACUUAGGAGAACAUUUAGUUUCUAGGAUAUUCCUAGAAUCCAGCCUUUUUCAAAAGUAAAUACACUUCAGGUUGGAGCUAAGCCUUCAGACAUACUGUUUCUGCUUUCCCCUGGGAAGUUUGUUUCUUUAUAGCAUUCCAUAACAGGUAGACGGGUUGUGUUAUCUUCAGGAGGAAGGAUCCUAGCGCCUGAGAAGACUUUGGGCAGGAAAUGUCCCAGAUGGAGCAGUGUGUGUCUACCAUACAGACAUUUAUCCACACUCAAGUUAUCUGCAAUGCUGUAUUUUCUACAUCGCCCCAUACAUUUCAAACAAAGUGUAUUCAUUUCAAAAAACCACACACAUUUAGGAUGCAUUUCGUACUUGCGCUACAAUGAAGUGACUUAAUUGAUGCAUUGAUAAACUUAGGACCUGCGAUUUUCAUUUUUUUAUAAGUAGACAUUCCCAGCGAGCAAUCAGGACAUGGAGUCUUCACUUACACAAACACAGCUGUUGUUUUGAAAAAAUAAUAUGAUUAACAGAGAAUUUUCAGAAAGAACUCUGUGUCAAUAAAAAUAAAUGUUGAAUUGGUCUAGGAAAUGUACCAAACACACAAACACACACACGCACACACACACACACACAUGCACACACAUAGACAUUUCCACCUUUAUUUGCAACAAUCAAAAUUUUAAAAUAUUGUGCCAAAACUUCUUCCUUUCCUCCCAAAUCUCAAAUCUCUCUAAUAUAUAUACAGACACUUUGAAUAUGGCUUCCCUGAUGGCCCAGUUGAUAAAGAAUCUGCCUGCAAUGCAGGAGAUGUGGGUUCGAUCCCUGGGUUGGGAAGCUCCCUUGGAGGAGGAAAUGGCAACCCACUCCAGUAUUCUUGCCUGGGAAAUCCCAUGGACAGAGGGGCCUGGUGGGCUACAGUCCAUCAGGUUGAAAACAGUCAGAUACGACUUAGUGACUCAACGACCAACCACUUUGAACAUGGAAAGUUUGUUUUUACUCCUGAGUUUGAGCUGAUGCCAGAAUAACAGAAGGGAAGUGUUCUCAAGUCCACGCUGAGUCAGAUGCUGAGACCAAGAAGUGAGACUGUGGAGGGGGGAGCGGAGACUAUAAAGGACCAGUAUGGGGACUUGCCUGGUGGUCCUGGGGUUAGGACUCCGCACGUCUACUGCAGGGCCACCAGUCAGGGAAAGCCACAUGGCUUGGCCAAAAAAGAAGAAAAAAAAAUUUUAAAGGACCAGUACAACCUUGGGGAACAUCCACAGGUUGUAGGAGGAAAGACAAGUAGCAAAGGAGACUAGGAAGAAAUUCUAAUCAGCUGAGAGAAACAAUGGGAUCCAACAUUUUUAAAAAGAGGACGAGGUCGGCAUGGUCACGUGGUGGAGGCUGGAGACACCCAUCACAGGAACUGGACAUCAGAAGCUAAGACAAGGUGUAAUGAAUGUGGUGAAGACAGAAGCUAAAUUUGAUGACUUAAGCAACAGGCUAGAAGGUGAAAAAACGGGGGUUCAGGACUUCCUGGUGGUCCAGUGGUUAAGACCUCGUCUUCCAGCACAAGGGGGUGCAGGUCGGAUCCCUGGUCGGAGGGCUAAGAUCCCACACGCCCCGUGGCCGAAAAACCAAAACACAAAACAGAAUAUUGUAACAAAUUAAAUAAAGACUUUAAAAAUGAUCCCUGUAAAAAAAGAAAUCUUAAUAAAAGAGGGUUCAAACACCGACCACUAACACAAGCUUGACAGUGAAAUAAAAGACCAGCAGGAAGCCCCGUGGAGCCUGGCCAGCGAUGAGCACUGGAGGAGACUUCUGGAAGGGUAUCUAGAAAGACAAGGAAUCAAUGAGACAAGUGCGUGGAGAGCGAGAAGAAUGGAGCCCAGAAGAAGGAGAUGGAGACGGAGACGUGAUGAGACACAGUAAUAACGGAGGCAGCUCCCGCGCCAGUGUCUUCGGUGUAAAAGGAGGCGAAUUUCUGUGGAGAGCUGUGGAGUGAGGUAGUCUAGAAAGUUGAAGCAGAACACAGGUGCCAUGGAGGCCGAUACACUUCAAGGAAAACAGAUUAAGUUUUGCUAAAGGCCAGCAGGAACCCGGCUGGUUGAAGGGACCUACGGCAGAACUCUGUGAUUUCCCGGUGCAUCCAUACCUGGGGUCACAAGUGAAGGAUGCAGGGCUGGAGACAGACCCAGCCAGGGCGCAGGGAGAGAGGAGUCUGCAGGCCCGCCCAGCAUCAACCACCGUGGGGUCUCAGUGACCCCCGAAUCUACAGGGCACCGGUCAAAACUGACUGAAACUGAACGGAGCACGAAGAUGACUUCAAGUCAUAAGCUGUCCCCAGCUGCUUAACAUUACAGAAAAGAUAUUUCCUGUGGGAGCCUCUGAAUAUACACUUCUUCCUUGCAGCUAAAUACACUCCAUCUUUGGAAUGUUUUCCCCACCUCCUUCCUCCCUUCACAGCUAGGCCUCUGCAGAGUUCUCUGGUAGGAUUUCCAUGCCAUCAGAAAAUAAAGAUCAUGGGAUCUGAGCACAUUACCUUGUUCAGCCCCUUCAUUAGAGGCAAAGCCGAAGCCAAAGCCGGGAGAGGCUGAUUUCAUCCCCUUGGGAUACGGAGUUGGCCUGUUUUCUUUUAGCACAGCCUCCCAGCGAUGUCUCAUUCCUUCUGUAGGUCUGCUCUGGUUCUGGUUCAGAAUCCAACCUCGAAGCAGGAUCUGGCAGGACCGCAGGAACUGGAGGUAGAAAUGCCAGAACCACCAUCGACAAAUGCCCUGAGCCAGUGGAAGAAGUCCUGAGCAAGGUGAUGGGCAGUUUGGGCAGGCGAAUGACCCAAGAAGAAGGCGAUAGAAGGGUUGGGAUGCCCUCACCCCUGGAAGGUAAGGGACUGGCGCUUAAGGCACUUCUCUAUGAAUCUGACUGCUUUAUAAAAG
ensembl:lncRNA